GCACUCCCGUCCCGUUGUCUCGUAGUGGAGCAGCAAACAUGGCGUAGAGCGGAGAGUCUGCAGAGACGCGGCCGAGGAGAGCUUCUCCUCUCCGGGGUGAAAGGAGGGAGGAAAGAGGCCCUGACCGACGGUUUUUUAACCGUGAAAUCUUCUCUGAAUAUUCCCUCACUUCGCACGGCUUCUAUCCACGCAGUUUGACCCGGUAACACGUCCGGUUCUGGAGACCUGGAUGUGUGACCGUAGAAGAAGAAAGGCUUUGUUUACCUGCUGCAGAUGAAACACCUGCAUCAUCACACCAAGGAUGGCCUCUCCAGAGCAAGCAGCUGAAACCCAGGACUGGAGGAACGUCUCGUGUAAAAGCAGCUCCAUCAGCAGACCCCGGCCCUUCAGACCUGAGGAGGGACUUUUGGACAUAGGUGCCCUCUUUCCUGCUGCCGCUGGGACAUUGGCCUUCUCUCCUCCGACCCCAAAGCCUCUGUGCCAGCCUGGUUCUGCAGAAUGAUGACCAGGACAUCUGCUGAGAGUCUGGGAUCCCAUCAUGCACUCUGUGUGCGUCUACAUGCAGCUAAAUGCUGGCUUUACAGUCGCUAAAUUACCUGAAAUUCUCCAUCAUUUGGGAAUUCCCUGUCAGAUUUGGCUGCGUGUAGACGUCGUCACUGAUGCCUCCUUCCUCAGAGUAAAGACACAAGAUACUGUAGCAAAGAUCAAGGCCUGUGAUUAUCUCAGACUCAUAAGAGGUUUUUAUUUCAUUUUUGUACGCUACCUCAUCGCCACAGCUAGUCCAGCAGUGUGAUCAGUACGAGCAUCCUGACGGCCGUCCAGCAGAUUCACACUUUGUUCCUGGAUUCAUUUACUUUAAGGGAGGUUGUUGGCAGACGUAAUUUACUUUAACUUCUUCAAACAUUUGAAGGAAAUCUCUCAAACUGUGGUCUCCCUAUGCAUCUGUUUUACUCCACGCUCUGAUGUUAAAGUAAAGUCUGCAGGUGAAUUAAGAAAUGUAAGGGACAGAUUUGGCGGUUCUCCCCUUGUGAGCUAACCCUGGAUAUCCCAUACGCAGUUUUAAGAGAUAGACUUCUAUUAUGAAAGACACCAUUUCCUUCCUUAUUCAUUUCCACAUUUGGUCUUUCAGGCCUCCUUAUAAAAUCAUUUAAAAUGCAAAUAAGUUCAUUCAUCAAAAGAAAUGAAGAUUUUGUGUUAAAAUGUCUUUAAAAAAAAUCAUUUAAAAUUGUAAACAAAGAGCUCAAA